AGGACGAACGCUGGCGGCGUGCCUAACACAUGCAAGUCGAACGGGGGUAGCAAUACCCCAGUGGCGAACGGGUGCGUAACACGUGAAGAACUUGUCCAUCGGCGGGGGAUAGCCGGCCCAACGGCCGGGUAAUACCGCGUACGCCGUCUGAAGCGCAUGCUUCGGCCGGGAAAGCAGCAAUGCACCGAUGGAGAGCUUCGCGGCCUAUCAGCUAGUUGGCGGGGUAAUGGCCCACCAAGGCGACGACGGGUAGCUGGUCUGAGAGGAUGACCAGCCACAUUGGGACUGAGACACGGCCCAGACUCCUACGGGAGGCAGCAGUGGGGAAUAUUGCGCAAUGGGGGAAACCCUGACGCAGCGACGCCGCGUGUGGGAUGACGGCCUUCGGGUUGUAAACCACUGUCGCGAGGGACGAAAAAUGACGGUACCUCGAAAGGAAGCACCGGCUAACUCUGUGCCAGCAGCCGC
rnacentral:rRNA from 1 species